rnacentral:rRNA from 1 species
AUGAUUCCUCUGGAAUUACGACCUUUACCACAACGGUGCCGUCCAUGGAUCAAAUUAUUUCGUGGAUUGGAUUUCACUUGCCUGUCUACGGUUCCCUUGGUCAGGGGUUUAAAGGUCUGGAAUAGGUGUGAGUGGUGGUCGUAUUCAGUACCAAUGGUACGGUAA